rnacentral:rRNA from 1 species
CCUACGGGAGGCAGCAGUGAGGAAUAUUGGUCAAUGGACGAGAGUCUGAACUAGCCAAGUAGCGUGAAGGAUGACUGCCCUAUGGGUUGUAAACUUCUUUUAUAUGGGAAUAAAAUGUUCCACGUGUGGGAUUUUGUAUGUACCAUAUGAAUAAGGAUCGGCUAACUCCGUGCCAGCAGCCGCGGUAAUACGGAGGAUCCGAGCGUUAUCCGGAGUUAUUGGGUUUAAAGGGAGCGUAGGUGGAUUGUUAAGUCAGUUGUGAAAGUUUGCGGCUCAACCGUAAAAUUGCAGUUGAAACUGGCAGUCUUGAGUACAGUAGAGGUGGGCGGAAUUCGUGGUGUAGCGGUGAAAUGCUUAGAUAUCACGAAGAACUCCGAUUGCGAAGGCAGUUCACUGGACUGCAACUGACACUGAGGCUCGAAAGUGUGGGUAUCAAACAGGAUUAGAUACCCCUGUAGUC